AUUGAACGCUGGCGGCAGGCCUAACACAUGCAAGUCGAACGGUAACAGGAAGCAGCUUGCUGCUUCGCUGACGAGUGGCGGACGGGUGAGUAAUGUCUGGGAAGCUGCCUGAUGGAGGGGGAUAACUACUGGAACCGGUAGCUAAUACCGCAUAAUGUCGCAAGACCAAAGAGGGGGACCUUCGGGCCUCUUGCCAUCGGAUGUGCCCAGAUGGGAUUAGCUUGUUGGUGGGGUAACGGCUCACCAAGGCGACGAUCCCUAGCUGGUCUGAGAGGAUGACCAGCCACACUGGAACUGAGACACGGUCCAGACUCCUACGGGAGGCAGCAGUGGGGAAUAUUGCACAAUGGGCGCAAGCCUGAUGCAGCCAUGCCGCGUGUAUGAAGAAGGCCUUCGGGUUGUAAAGUACUUUCAGCGGGGAGGAAGGGAGUAAAGUUAAUACCUUUGCUCAUUGACGUUACCCGCAGAAGAAGCACCGGCUAACUCCGUGCCAGCAGCCGCGGUAAUACGGAGGGUGCAAGCGUUAAUCGGAGUUACUGGGCGUAAAGCGCACGCAGGCGGUUUGUUAAGUCAGAUGUGAAAUCCCCGGGCUCAACCUGGGAACUGCAUCUGAUACUGGCAAGCUUGAGUCUCGUAGAGGGGGGUAGAAUUCCAGGUGUAGCGGUGAAAUGCGUAGAGAUCUGGAGGAAUACCGGUGGCGAAGGCGGCCCCCUGGACGAAGACUGACGCUCAGGUGCGAAAGCGUGGGGAACAAACAGGAUUAGAUACCCUGGUAGUCCACGCCGUAAACGAUGUCGACUUGGAGGUUGUGCCCUUGAGGCGUGGCUUCCGGAGCUAACGCGUUAAGUCGACCGCCUGGGAGUACGGCCGCAAGGUUAAAACUCAAAUGAAUUGACGGGGGCCCGCACAAGCGGUGGAGCAUGUGGUUUAAUUCGAUGCAACGCGAAGAACCUUACCUGGUCUUGACAUCCACGGAAGUUUUCAGAGAUGAGAAUGUGCCUUCGGGAACCGUGAGACAGGUGCUGCAUGGCUGUCGUCAGCUCGUGUUGUGAAAUGUUGGGUUAAGUCCCGCAACGAGCGCAACCCUUAUCCUUUGUUGCCAGCGGUCCGGCCGGGAACUCAAAGGAGACUGCCAGUGAUAAACUGGAGGAAGGUGGGGAUGACGUCAAGUCAUCAUGGCCCUUACGACCAGGGCUACACACGUGCUACAAUGGCGCAUACAAAGAGAAGCGACCUCGCGAGAGCAAGCGGACCUCAUAAAGUGCGUCGUAGUCCGGAUUGGAGUCUGCAACUCGACUCCAUGAAGUCGGAAUCGCUAGUAAUCGUGGAUCAGAAUGCCACGGUGAAUACGUUCCCGGGCCU
rnacentral:rRNA from 1 species